rnacentral:rRNA from 1 species
CAGGCCUAACACAUGCAAGUCGAACGAUGCUUUCGGGCAUAGUGGCGCACGGGUGCGUAACGCGUGGGAAUCUGCCCUUGGGUUCGGGAUAACCGUUGGAAACGACGGCUAAUACCGGAUGAUGACGUUAAGUCCAAAGAUUUAUCGCCCAGGGAUGAGCCCGCGUAGGAUUAGCUAGUUGGUGGGGUAAAGGCCUACCAAGGCGACGAUCCUUAGCUGGUCUGAGAGGAUGAUCAGCCACACUGGGACUGAGACACGGCCCAGACUCCUACGGGAGGCAGCAGUGGGGAAUAUUGGACAAUGGGCGAAAGCCUGAUCCAGCAAUGCCGCGUGAGUGAUGAAGGCCUUAGGGUUGUAAAGCCCUUUCGGCCGGGAAGAAAUAGCUCUGGCUAACAUCCAGAGUGUUGACGGUACCGGAGGAAGAAGCACCGGCUAACUCUGUGCCAGCAGCCGCGGUAAU